rnacentral:rRNA from 1 species
AGAGCGAACGCUGGCGGCAGGCCUAAUACAUGCAAGUCGAACGGACCCUUCGGGGUUAGUGGCGGACGGGUGAGUAACACGUGGGAACGUGCCCUUUGGUUCGGAACAACUCAGGGAAACUUGAGCUAAUACCGAAUGUGCCCCCAUCCUUAAACAAGAUGGGUGGGAAAGAUUUAUCGCCAUUGGAGCGGCCCGCGUCUGAUUAGCUAGUUGGUGAGGUAAAGGCUCACCAAGGCGACGAUCAGUAGCUGGUCUGAGAGGAUGAUCAGCCACACUGGGACUGAGACACGGCCCAGACUCCUACGGGAGGCAGCAGUAGGGAAUCUUGCGCAAUGGGCGAAAGCCUGACGCAGCCAUGCCGCGUGAAUGAUGAAGGUCUUAGGAUUGUAAAAUUCUUUCAGCGGGGACGAUAAUGACGGUACCCGCAGAAGAAGCCCGGCUAACUCGCGCCAGCAGCCGC